rnacentral:misc_RNA from 1 species
CUCCUCCUUUCCUUCCCUCACUCUUGACUUUGAUUAUAAUUUCCUUCCUCUCCGUACCAAUUACAAAUGGCGCUGCCUCCGUUCCUCUUAGCACCCUUGGAUUCUCUGUUAUGAGCGACUCCUCUUCCUCUUUAACCUAAUUUAUACUGUUAUUCCUACUGCUAUUCUUAUCUUGCUUUUCGAUUUCUCUUUCUCUCUGUAUAUUGAUGGAAGAAUGAAGCGCGCUUUCGACGAAAUCUCCGACGACGAGUGGGACAACCACUCUUUCAAGCCGUCGCGCGUUCUCAAAACGACACCGCCUAAUAAGCAUAGGCAUAAAUCAGCUGCACCUCCUCCUAUAGAAUCCUUUGUUUUUAAAAAGCCUUUAAAUACUCUUAAUUCCGAUAGCAGCAGCGAUGAUUGCCGAGAAAUUACUCCGCCUUUCAAUUUGGAGGAAGAGGAUGAGAAUUUGGAAGAUGAUGACGUCUUAGAGGAUGAUUUUGAGGAGGUAGCGAGGCCACCGCCGGCGAAUCGUGGCCGUCGAUUUGUAGUUGAUGAUGAGGAAGACGAGGACGAGGACGAGGGGAGGAAGGAGGUAGAAAGUGAAAGGGAUUUUGCAGAGGUUUAUGAUAUAGAGUCGAG